rnacentral:rRNA from 1 species
UACGUAGGGGGCUAGCGUUGUCCGGAAUCAUUGGGCGUAAAGAGCGCGUAGGCGGUCCGGUAAGUCGGUUGUGAAAGUCGGGGGCUCAACCCUCGGAGGCCGACCGAUACUGUCGGGCUAGAGUCCGGAAGAGGCGAGUGGAAUUCCUGGUGUAGCGGUGAAAUGCGCAGAUAUCAGGAAGAACACCCGUGGCGAAGGCGGCUCUCUGGGACGGUACUGACGCUGAGACGCGAAAGCGUGGGGAGCGAACAGG